rnacentral:rRNA from 1 species
GACGAACCGUCCAAACGUUAUUCGGAAUCACUGGGCUUAAAGGGUGCGUAGGCGGCGCGGAAAGUUGGGUGUGAAAUCCCUCGGCUCAACCGAGGAACUGCGCCCAAAACUGCCGUGCUUGAGGGAGAUAGAGGUGAGCGGAACUUAGGGUGGAGCGGUGAAAUGCGUUGAUAUCCUAAGGAACACCGGUGGCGAAAGCGGCUCACUGGAUCUCUUCUGACGCUGAGGCACGAAAGCUAGGGUAGCGAACGGG